GGGGGCAACCCCUUGAGAGUGGCGAACGGGUGAGUAAUGUAUCGGAACGUGCCCAGUCGUGGGGGAUAACGUAGUGAAAAUUACGCUAAUACCGCAUACGAUCUAUGGAUGAAAGCGGGGGAUCGCAAGACCUCGCGCGAUUGGAGCGGCCGAUAUCAGAUUAGGUAGUUGGUAGGGUAAAGGCCUACCAAGCCAACGAUCUGUAGCUGGUCUGAGAGGACGACCAGCCACACUGGAACUGAGACACGGUCCAGACUCCUACGGGAGGCAGCAGUGGGGAAUUUUGGACAAUGGGCGAAAGCCUGAUCCAGCCAUUCCGCGUGCAGGAUGAAGGCCCUCGGGUUGUAAACUGCUUUUGUACAGAACGAAAAGGUUUCUAUUAAUACUAGGAGCUCAUGACGGUACUGUAAGAAUAAGCACCGGCUAACUACGUGCCAGCAGCCGCGGUAAUACGUAGGGUGCAAGCGUUAAUCGGAAUUACUGGGCGUAAAGCGUGCGCAGGCGGUUAUAUAAGUCAGAUGUGAAAUCCCCGGGCUCAACCUGGGAACUGCAUUUGAGACUGUAUAGCUAGAGUACGGUAGAGGGGGAUGGAAUUCCGCGUGUAGCAGUGAAAUGCGUAGAUAUGCGGAGGAACACCGAUGGCGAAGGCAAUCCCCUGGACCUGUACUGACGCUCAUGCACGAAAGCGUGGGGAGCAAACAGGAUUANAUACCCUGGUAGUCCACGCCCUAAACGAUGUCNACUGGUUGUUGGGUCUUAACUGACUCAGUAACGAAGCUAACGCGUGAAGUUGACCGCCUGGGGANUACGGCCGCAAGGUUGAAACUCAAAGGAAUUGACGGGGACCCGCACAAGCGGNGGNUGAUGUGGUUUAAUUCNAUNCAACGCGAAAAACCUUACCCACCNUUGACAUGUACGGAA
rnacentral:rRNA from 1 species